UUCUCCUGUGUGUUUGCUAGUGUAAGACACCCUUUGGGGACCCCCACUCUAGUCUCGGGAGUGAUAGAGCACUCAAAAAAACACGAGAAUCC
rnacentral:pre_miRNA from 7 species